rnacentral:rRNA from 1 species
AUGGCGCAGCUGGAGGCCGAUCUCAAGGCGAGCGGCGAGGAGCUUGCUGCGCUCAAGCGUGAGCGCGAGAAGGACGUCGCCGCUCAUGGCGAGCUGCAGGGUCGUCUCGCUGAGAGGAGCAAGGAGCUUAGCGCCGCCAAGGACUCCAACGCAGAUCUUGAGUUGAAGCUGGUUACUUUGACUCAGACGCUGGACGGCGCCAGGGUGCAGGAGGUGGCCUUGAAGGAGAAGAUCAAGGCCGACGAGGCGCUGCUGGCGAGUGCUGCUGCCGCCCAGGACACUUUUAGGGAGAAUGUGGAGCACUGGACCGAGGGUCUCGUGGAUGUUGCCGCAGCCAUCGACAGGGAGCUGGCGCAGCUGGAGAUGGAGGAUCUCGGGUAUUCCUCCGAUGAGCACCUCCAACCCAGCGCCAAGCUCAACUUGUUCUUCAAAGGCGUGGCGACGACCCUCCAACGACUCCGGGAGAAGAUCCCAAAGCAGCUGGCCGACGAGUCGCGCAAGUUCUGCGCGGGAGCUCUUCAAUAG